rnacentral:rRNA from 1 species
CUGAUGGCGACCGGCGUACGGGUGAGUAACGCGUAUCCAACCUGCCCUUUACUAUGGGACAGCCCGUCGAAAGGCGGAUUAAUACCGUAUGUUGUCAUGUUGAUGCAUAUUUUCAUGACCAAAGGCUUCGGCCGGUAAAGGAUGGGGAUGCGUCUGAUUAGCUUGCCGGCGGGGUAACGGCCCACCGGGGCGACGAUCGAGUAGGGGUUCUGAGACGGAAGGUCCCCCACAUUGGAACUGAGACACGGUCCAAACUCCUACGGGAGGCAGCAG